AGCGAGACAGCGAUGUCGAGCUAAUCUCCAAAAGCCAUCUCAGUUCGGAUUGCACUCUGCAACUCGAGUGCAUGAAGUUGGAAUCGCUAGUAAUCGCAGAUCAGCAUGCUGCGGUGAAUACGUUCCCGGGCCUUGUACACACCGCCCGUCACACCAUGGGAGUUGGUUUUACCCGAAGGUAGUGCGCUAACCGCAAGGAGGCAGCUAACCACGGUAGGGUCAGCGACUGGGGUGAAGUCGUAACAAGGUAGCCGUAGGGGAACCUGCGGCUGGAUCACCUCCUUUCUAAGGAAGC
rnacentral:rRNA from 1 species